rnacentral:lncRNA from 1 species
AAUAUGGUUACAGAUAGUGUACAUACCCUGUACCACGUACGGGUCGGCAUCGGCAUCCUGCUGUGUGAGGUUGUAAACUCUGCCCUGAAUAAGAGGUCUUCCUUGGUUCUAGUUCCUCGGGCACUCUCUCGCAUAGAGCUGGGCACUACCACAUAUGCGACAGGUGUUGUUGAGGUGAUAGCAUGGUCAGUCCCCGUGAUCCCUGUCGCAGUGUUGACAGAUCUUGCCACGUGCUGCCCCUAUAGCUUGAGGGGGAGCCUGGAUCGCUGGUAUGGGCCUCUUAUU